GUUUUUUUUAACAAUUCGGUGAAUUCCAAUUGCAAAAACUAAGAACUUUUGAACUUGGAAUCAACUUACUGUAAGAUUUUUGAUUUUGUUUUGUUCCAGAAAAAAAACAAAUGUGUGUGUAUUGAAAUAGUUGUAUGAAAUUUCGUUUUGACAAAUAUUUCAUUUUAUUAUGCUAUGUGUAUGAUUGUCUUAACACGCUUUUCCAGGAUUAGUUAAGUGUAUGAAAAAUAUGCAGGUUUGUAAAACCUCACAUAGAUGGCGCUGUUACUGCUAAGAUGUUAAGAUGUUUGUACAGCAUUUGAUUUUGUUUUUAUCUUUAAGACUACUUUCAGUAAGUAUUUCAUGAAAUAUGUUUCUGAAAAAGAAACCAUUAUUUAAAGCUAAAAUUCUUCAACAAGAAACAAAUUAUUUACAGUUAUUUAAGUGCUGUUAUUUUCACAUACAUAUUCAUUAUGUUUUCAAGUCUCCAAAUCUUUUAUCGGGUGUUGAAGCUAUAAAAAGAUUUUAGCAGUUUAGGAAACUGUUUAGGGCUAUCAUCAUAAUGCUAGUUUAGGAAGCUGUUAUAUUGAUAAUAUUAGCGAACCCAUAAUUUUACGAAACUGUUCAGGAAUAUCAUCAUAAUUGUAUUCAACCCAUCAGUUCAGGAAUUUAUUUAGGAUUAUCAUCCAGUGAAACCAUAAGUUUAGGAAGUAAUUCAGCGUAAUGCUAAUGAAUCCAUAUAUUUAGGAAACUGUUUAGGGUUAGCUUACUAACGCUAGUCCAUUAAUUUAGUAAAUUGUUUAGAGUUAGCUUCCCAAUGCUAGCCCAUUAAUUUAAGAAUUUAUUUAGGGCUGUCAUCCAGUGAAACCCUAAGUUUAGUAAACUGUUUAGGGUUAGCUUCCCAAUGCUAACCCAUUAAUUUAAGAAUUUAUUUAGGGCUAUCUUCCAGUGAAAUAUUAAGUUUAGUAAACUGUUUAGGAUUAGCUUCUUAACGCUAGCCCAUUAGUUUAGUAAACUGUUUAGGGUUAGUUUCCUAACGUUAUCCCAUUAGUUUAGUAAACUGUUUAGGAUUAGCUUCUUAACGCUAGCCCAUUAGUUUAGUAAACUGUUUAGGGUUAGCUUCCUAACUCUAGUGAAACUUUGAAUUUGUGAAGCUCUUUAGGGUUAUCUUCUUAAUGCUAUUAAACACAUUAGUUUAUUAAGCUGUUUACUGUUAUCAUCGUAAUUUUAGUAAAUCAUGCAUAAGUAUAAAGAACCCAUUAGUUGAGGAAUUUGUUUAUGGUUCUCAUCCUAACGUUAGUGAACCCAUGCUUCAUCUAAGCAGUGAAUUAUUAUCUAAUUCUAACUUAUCUAAUUAUUUUGCAAGUUCUUAUAUCAAUAUUUUAGGCUUAGCUUCUAUAUAUCGGUACUGGUUUAGUUUUUCACAGUGCGGUCCUGUACUCUAAAAUAAAUGGCCCAUGGUUAACGUCAGUCACGUGAUCAUGCACUGGAAUGCAAGUCUGUGUCUGAGAUAGUCUUGGCAGCAAACUGCACAUAUUCUUUGCUCAACUGCAAUCAUCAAAGUGCCUUUAUAAUUUUCCUGUUGGGCUACAACCCGGCACAGAGGACAAUUUUAGUGUACAAACAUUUCGCGUGAGAGAAGUAUCGUGUGAAUACAGCAAACCUAUGUUUCUGUUUACAUUGCUGCAAAUUCACGUUUCUGUUUAUAUUACUACAAACUUACGCUUCUAUUUAUAUUACUACAAACUUACGCUUCUGUUUAUAUUACUAGAAACUUACGCUUCUGUUUGUAGUACUACAAACUUACGCUUCUGUUUAUAUUACUACAAACUUACGCUUCUGUUUGCAUUACUACAAACUUACCCUUCUGUUUACAUUACUACAAACUUACGCUUUUGUUUGUAAUACUACAAACUUACGCUUCUGUUUAUAUUACUACAAACUUACGAUUCUGUUUACAUUACUAGAAACUUACGCUUCUGUUUACAUUACUAGAAACUUACGCUUCUGUUUGUAGUACUACAAACUUACGCUUCUGUUUAUAUUACUACAAACUUACGCUUCUGUUUACAUUACUACAAACUUACGCUUUUGUUUACAUUACUACAAACUUGCGCUUCUGUUUAUAUUACUACAAUCUUACGCUUUUGUUUGUAGUACUACAAACUUACGCUUCUGUUUGUAGUACUACAAACUUACGCUUCUGUUUACAUUACUACAAACUUAUAUCUCUACUUAUAUUGUUACUUAACUGGCCUCCAGUGAUUACGUUUAUUUGUGGUUGUUUAAUCUCGAUAUUUUGAAUCAUUUUACUGACUUCUCAGGAUUGAUUGUUUGUAUGUAAUAAUGUUCUUAAUAACCUUUGUUCUGACUUAGAGUGAGCAGUACUUAAGCUAACGCUAAUAUUGUGAUUCCAGUUCUUGUCCUUUUACAGAUCAAUGACAAGUUAACAUGGUAUCGAACAUGGUUUAGUGUUGCCCGUUGGUGCUUGUAAGGGCAUUAAGGUUGGCUUAAAUAGUCGCCAUGACAACAUACUGUAGUUGAUUAUAUGUAGGCGUAUUCUGGAAAAUAUGAACCUUAGGAUUGGUUGUCUUGGCUAUGACGUAUCUGGUUGUUUUCUGGAGUGUAUUACAGAAUGUUAAGCAAUAAAACUGAUUUAACUCGUCAUGACGACAUAUCUCAUUAUUUUCAGAUGUGCAGUGGACAAUAGGCACCGGUAGGGUUGUUUUUCAGGACGACAUAGUUCGUUAUUUUCAGGUGUUUAACGGAGAAUAGGCACCUAUAGGGUUGGUUGUCAUGACGACACAUUUCGUUAUUUUCAGGUGUUUAAUGGAGAAUAUACGCCGACAGAUGUCGUUAUUUUAAUGGAGAAAAUGCACCGGUAGGGUUGGUUGUCAUGACGACGUUAUUUUAAUGGAGAAUAUGAAGCAAUAAGGUAUUAUGUCCAUAACUUCUUGAGUAGAACUAGUUAACGAAAAACGUACUAAAACAAUGUCUGUGUAUCUGAAAAGCACUAAGCACUAGUGUUAUAUUCUUGUCGUGAAUAUGCGCUUGGUUGUCCACGUUAAAUAAAAAAUUUGGGCGCACGUUCUAACCUCGAGUGUACUCCCAUUUUUAUGGAGGUUUUGAACAAAAACGGGUGCUGUAUUUUAUUUAUUUAUUUAUUUUUUGGAGGGGAGAGAGAGAGAAGAAGAAGAAGCUCACCAUAACAACAACGUGGGUUACCCUAUUUAAUGAAAUACAAUUUAAAUUGACGUUUCUUUUCUGAAUAAAAAGAUAAGAAGGAAUAUGGCCCUUUAACUCCACCGUAUUUUUGAAUAUUAUACUUGUACCUCGUGAGUCUAACACGUAAAAUAAUAAUAUUAUCUUUAACAUAAAAUAUAAGGUACAAAGAAAUAUACUGUCAAUAUUUACUGGAGUUUGACAAAGUUUAGUACAAAAUCUUAUUAGCGUAGUUAUAUGAAUAGACAUUCUGUAUGCAUAUCAAUUGUUAACCUUUUACCCUCUAGAUAUCACUCUAUUAACCCUAUUAUAGAUUCAAUUAAAUAUUAGGGUUAGUCUUUUUCGAUAUUCUCUUGUCUUUGAUUAGAUGUAAUCGGAUUUAAACCCUCACAUUCACAAUUUCCUAAACUUGAUAGAUUUUAAGAACUGCAACUUGAAUAUUAGCGAGUGACUUAUAUCCAGUAGUGAAUACAUAAACGUUUUUUUUUAAAUAUAUUAUUAAUACUUUACAUAAGCUGGUUUUGGUUUCAUUUCUUCCCACAAUCAUUGAAGGUUGUUUUAUAAGGUGUGGAAGUUAAGUGAAUCCACACGGAUAUAAGACAAAAUAUAUGCACUGAAUUUGAACUGAACUGUAAGAUAAUAUGAAUCGUUAUUUGUUAUUUUAUAUUCAUCGCUGCUUGUACAGAUUUUAACGUUAUUUAAUAAAUCCAAUUUUCAUCACA